rnacentral:rRNA from 2 species
GAGUUUGAUUCUGGCUCAGGAUGAACGCUGGCGGCGUGCCUAACACAUGCAAGUCGAGCGAUUCUCUUCGGAGAAGAGCGGCGGACGGGUGAGUAACGCGUGGGUAACCUGCCCUGUACACACGGAUAACAUACCGAAAGGUAUGCUAAUACGGGAUAAUAUAUAAGAGUCGCAUGACUUUUAUAUCAAAGAUUUUUCGGUACAGGAUGGACCCGCGUCUGAUUAGCUUGUUGGCGGGGUAACGGCCCACCAAGGCGACGAUCAGUAGCCGACCUGAGAGGGUGAUCGGCCACAUUGGAACUGAGACACGGUCCAAACUCCUACGGGAGGCAGCAGUGGGGAAUAUUGCACAAUGGGCGCAAGCCUGAUGCAGCAACGCCGCGUGAGCGAUGAAGGCCUUCGGGUCGUAAAGCUCUGUCCUCAAGGAAGAUAAUGACG